GAUGAAGAACGGUAGCGAAAUGCGAUAAGUAAUGUGAAUUGCAGAAUUCAGUGAAUCAUCGAAUCUUUGAACGCAUCUUGCGCUCCUUGGUAUUCUGAGGAGCAUGCCUGUUUGAGUGUCAUUAAAUUCUCAACUACACUGACUUUGAAUUGGUGUGGCUUGGAUUUGGGGGGAAAAUUGUUGUGGGCUUUUUGUAUAGUCUGCUCCCCUGAAAUUGAUUAGCGGUACCUUUGUGGAACUGUCUACAGGUGUGAUAAUUAUCUACAUCUUAGACAUCUGCUGGAAUGCUGCUUUCUAAACCUUACUUGUAUUGACAAUCUUGACCUCAAAUCAGGUAGGACUACCCGCUGAACUUAAGCAUAUCAAUAAGCGGAGGA
rnacentral:misc_RNA from 1 species